AUUCCAGCUCCAAUAGCGUAUAUUUAAGUUGUUGCAGUUAAAAAGCUCGUAGUUGGAUUUCGGGUGGGCGUUAGCGGUCCGGCUCUGCUGUGUACUGCUAGUGCCUAUCUUUCUGUCGGGGACGGGCUCUUGGGCUUCAUUGUCCGGGACUCGGAGUCGACGUGGUUACUUUGAGUAAAUUAGAGUGUUCAAAGCAAGCGUUCGCUGUGAAUACAUUAGCAUGGAAUAACACGAUAGGACUCUGGCUUAUCUUGUUGGUCUGUAAGACCGGAGUAAUGAUUAAGAGGGACAGUCGGGGGCAUUCGUAUUUCAUUGUCAGAGGUGAAAUUCUUGGAUUUAUGAAAGACGAACUUCUGCGAAAGCAUUUGCCAAGGAUGUUUUCAUUAAUCAAGAACGAAAGUUGGGGGCUCGAAGACGAUUAGAUACCGUCGUAGUCUCAACCAUAAACGAUGCCGACUAGGGAUUGGCAGGUGUUUCGUUGAUGACCCUGCCAGCACCUUAUGAGAAAUCAAAGUUUUUGGGUUCCGGGGGGAGUAUGGUCGCAAGGCUGAAACUUAAAGGAAUUGACGGAAGGGCACCACCAGGCGUGGAGCCUGCGGCUUAAUUUGACUCAACACGGGGAAACUUACCAGGUCCAGACACGGGGAGGAUUGACAGAUUGAGAGCUCUUUCUUGAUUCUGUGGGUGGUGGUGCAUGGCCGGUUCUUAGUUGGUGGGUUGCCUUGUCAGGUUGAUUCCGGUAACGAACGAGACCUCAGCCUGCUAAAUAGUCACGGCUACUUUUUUGUAGCCGUCCGACUUCUUANAGGGACUAUUGUCGUUUAGGCAAUGGAAGUGUGAGGCAAUAA
rnacentral:rRNA from 1 species